UACGUAGGGGGCAAGCGUUGUCCGGAUUUAUUGGGCGUAAAGAGCUCGUAGGCGGCUCGGUAAGUCGGAUGUGAAACCUCCAGGCUCAACCUGGAGACGCCAUCUGAUACUGCCGUGGCUUGAGUCCGGUAGAGGAGCAGGGAAUUCCUGGUGUAGCGGUGAAAUGCGCAGAUAUCAGGAGGAACACCGGUGGCGAAGGCGGGUCUCUGGGCCGAUACUGACGCUGAGGAGCGAAAGCGUGGGGAGCAAACAGG
rnacentral:rRNA from 1 species